AGGGGGAGGCAGACCNCAAAAAAGGACGUCCCAGUUCGGAUUACAGCCUGCAACCCGGCUGUAUGAAGCUGGAAUCGCUAGUAAUCGCAGAUCAGAAUGCUGCGGUGAAUACGUUCCCGGGUCUUGUACACACCGCCCGUCACACCAUGGGAGCCAGGAAUGCCCGAAGCCAGUGGCCUAACCGCAAGGGAGGAGCUGUCGAAGGCAGGCCCGGUAACUGGGGUGAAGUCGUAACAAGGUAUC
rnacentral:rRNA from 1 species